UUACGGCUGUCAUGGAAGCCGACUUGCCUACAUUUCUUGCAUGUUCUAGGAAUUUUCUUUUUUUGUCCACCACUAUUUUUCUUCGCCUCUCCAACCUUGUUUUUAUUCUCCUCUCCAUCCUUAGUUUUCUUCGCUUCCCCAUCCUUAUUUUGAUGCCCACCCUUGUCUAAGUGUCCCUUAAUUCUUUUGCAUCUCCCCUUUGUGCG
rnacentral:lncRNA from 1 species